UACGGAGAGGGCAAGUGUUAUUCGGAUUCACUGGGUUUAAAGGGUGCGUAGGCGGGCAGGUAAGUCAGUGGUGAAAUCUCCGAGCUUAACUCGGAAACUGCCGUUGAUACUAUUUGUCUUGAAUACUGUGGAGGUAAGCGGAAUAUGUCAUGUAGCGGUGAAAUGCUUAGAUAUGACAUAGAACACCAAUUGCGAAGGCAGCUUACUACACAGCGAUUGACGCUGAGGCACGAAAGCGUGGGGAGCAAACAGG
rnacentral:rRNA from 1 species